GAUGAACGCUGGCGGCGUGCCUAACACAUGCAAGUCGAGCGAGAUAAAUGUGAGUGGAGACUUCGGUCAAAGCAAUCAUUUUGAAAGCGGCGGACGGGUGAGUAACGCGUGAGCAAUCUGCCCCAUACAAAGGGAUACCCACUGGAAACGGUGAUUAAUACCUUAUAAGACCACGAAGUCGCCUGUCUUAGUGGCCAAAGAUUUAUCGGUAUGGGAUGAGCUCGCGUCUGAUUAGCUAGUUGGUGAGGUAAUGGCUCACCAAGGCGACGAUCAGUAGCCGACCUGAGAGGGUGAACGGCCACACUGGAACUGAGACACGGUCCAGACUCCUACGGGAGGCAGCAGUGGGGAAUAUUGCACAAUGGGCGCAAGCCUGAUGCAGCAACGCCGCGUGAAUGAUGAAGGCCUUCGGGUCGUAAAGUUCUGUCCUAAGGGAAGAAUACAGUGACGGUACCUUAGGAGGAAGCCCCGGCUAACUACGUGCCAGCAGCCGCCGCGG
rnacentral:rRNA from 1 species